UUUAUUCCACACAUGUACAUGUUUUCUUGCAUGAAGUCAGACUGGGUUUUCUUUAACUCUGGUUAGCUGGCUGGACUAGACCAAACUAAGAAGGCACGAUCUGGACAGGGUGAUGCAGCAGCACCAGCAGGCGACGUUGCUAUGGAAUCAUCAGAAGGAAAGAGCGCCGAAGGUGAAGCUAAAACAGAAGAAAAGAUGGAAGAAAGUUAAGCUCAUGUGUUCAUGUACAAGUCUUUAGAAACCUUUUUCUUUGAAUAUCAAUAAACUCUACAAAUAACGGCCAAGAUAAUGAGUGACCGCUGUCAAGCAAAUUUUUGAACUUCACUGUAAAACUAACUCUGUAUACCGGACAGCUUAUCAUAGACCUUAACUUUAUUUUAUGGGAUCUUAUGUGAGAACUCGUCCACUUUGAUGCGUUUUGUAGCGUUUUUCGUAUUGCUCACCGUUCUCAAAAAACAAUACUUUAAGAUUUCUUAUGAAAUUCUAGAAAUUCUUGGGAAUUUCCUAGCAAUUUUUAGGAAUCUCUUCGAAUUUUUAGGAAUUCUUGGGAAUCGUUAGGAACUCUUAGGAAUCCUUAGGAUUUUUUAGAAAUCCUUAGGAUUUUUUAGAAAUCCUGAUGAACGUUUUGAAAAGACGUAACAGGAUGACGAUCAAUAGAUUUGUUUUGUUAGUCAAAUAAAACUCAUUGUUUGGCCAUGGUAUCAUUUUCUUAGUCGUUUGUGUAAGUUUGUGUAUCAUGUUAUAGAGUCGUUUCCGAAGUCGCGCAUACGUGCCGUGCCGUAUGGUAACCUCUGUUACCAUUAAAUUUAUUCAAAUUUGUUGUUACAUAAUUGUGAAACGCUCGUUAUUAUCAUAAAUCAUGUUCAGAGUUUUAAGUGUUAACUAAAUGCGUCAAUAAGAUCGUUUAGAGGUGUAAAUCGCCUGGGCGGAAUAAUUUCUYCUCGCUUUAAGCGUGUUACCGUCGUUAUAUGUGUGUAGUUUAGUUGAUAUGUGAGUGUUAAUGUUAACAUGAUUUAACGUACUGUUUAAAAGAAAUCUUUAUCUUAAUGGAUUUUCGUAACAUCGUUAGCAUUAUAUGUCAACAUUAGAAUCGUUUACGCCUCUGUGUGCGAAACGCGGCCUAUCAGCUCCACCUUAAAUAAAAAAAGCAGUUUGAU